ACCUCGUGAAGAACAACCAACGGGUUGGGUAGACAAGCUGCGAUGUUACCAUUUCACCCCUCUGUCUCUCUCACUCUGUGGUGAAAUUAUAAAAUGCUGAAACUGAUAUUGAACGAUUUUCUACUUUGGUCUUCUUCUGAUCUACCAAACUCCAUUUGAUUACAAUCUCUCUGGCGGCUUUGAUCUCUCUGUUCGUCUAUACUUAAGAUUUCCUCGCAAAUCGACCGGUUGUUUUCUUUUAAGUCUUUUUGGUUUGCUAUUGGGGAGGAUGAUAGAAUGCAGUGUUUGCCACUCCAAAUUUUCUCCCACGAGCAAAACCGUUUCCAGAGCUUACGAUAGGCACAGGAUUGAUGUCUCUUCCAAAACUCGAGCACUUAACGUUCUUUUGGUUGUUGGUGAUUGCAUCUUGGUUGGUCUGCAGCCAAUAUUGGUUUAUAUGUCUAAGGUAGAUGGCCAGUUCAAGUUUAGUCCUAUAAGUGUUAACUUCUUGACUGAGGGUGCUAAAGUUCUUUUUGCUAUUGUGAUGCUUUUCAUCCAGGCUCGACAUAAAAAGGUUGGGGAGAAACCUUUUCUCUCUUUUUCUAUCUUUAUACAGGCUGCUCGAAAUAAUGUGCUUCUUGCUGUUCCAGCUCUCCUCUAUGCUAUUAAUAAUUAUUUGAAGUUUAUUAUGCAGCUAUACUUCAAUCCUGCAACUGUGAAAAUGCUGAGCAAUCUGAAGGUUUUAGUAAUUGCAGUCUUGUUGAAAAUAAUCAUGAAGCGACGAUUUUCAAUUAUUCAAUGCGAGGCUCUUGCUCUAUUGCUUAUUGGGAUUAGUGUGAAUCAGUUACGGUCUUUGCCUGAAGGAACCACUGCCAUGGGUCUUCCAGUUGCAACAGGGGCAUACUUGUAUACACUAAUUUUUGUGACUGUUCCAUCACUAGCUUCAGUCUAUAAUGAAUAUGCUUUGAAGAGCCAGUUUGAGACCAGCAUUUAUCUUCAGAACCUUUUUCUGUACGGGUAUGGUGCCAUAUUCAAUUUCCUAGCCAUCCUAGUAACUGCCAUUUUUAAAGGUCCAAGUAGCUUGGAUAUACUGAAAGGUCACUCAAAGGCUACCAUGCUUUUAAUAUGCAACAAUGCAGCACAAGGAAUUUUAUCUUCCUUCUUUUUCAAAUAUGCAGAUACGAUUUUGAAGAAGUACUCGUCAACUGUAGCCACAAUUUUUACAGGAAUUGCAUCUGCUGCACUUUUUGGUCAUACCUUGACUAUGAAUUUUAUCCUAGGAAUCUCUAUUGUGUUCAUCUCCAUGCACCAGUUCUUUUCUCCGCUUUCAAAGGUUAAGGAUGAACCACCAAAAGGUGGUCAGGAAAUGGUGGAUGGUGAAAACAACCAGAGGUCUAAGGAUGCUUCCUUCAUAAAUAUGGCCGCAGGAGCAAAUGAGGAUGCUAGUCACCGAGUUGAACAUGAUGAAAAGGCGCCACUUCUUCCAAUCUAAAAGUUCACUGUGGCCUUGAGGCAUCCAUAGGUGACUGAUUAAAGAUUGUGAGAAUGCUCUUAUAAAUGAUGAGCAGUGAUUAGAAAUACGUGUCAAACUACCAGGAGCUUACAGGUUGAUGGAAAAAAACCCUAAAUGCAUAGAUAGGCCAGGAAUUACCAAUAGCCGAGAAGACCAGCACUUGCAUCAAGACAAUAGAAUAAAUGCUGUAAAAGAGAUUCUUUGUUUCAUCUUGGGGUUGCUUCAAUGUCUAUGGGAACCCACCCACAAUAUACCAUUGAUUAAGCUAUUCUCUAAAGCAUCUUUGCAAGCAUUAGACUCCAUUGAGUACCUGGUUUCUGCAGAAGGGGAAAAAGGUUUAACAAAAAUAUUUAUACAGAAAUGCGGCGAUUUUUGUAAUUCAUCAAUACCAUAUCUAGCAAGAACUAUUACUUUUCGUUGUGAUAUAAAUUCAAAGUUGUACAACACUUUCAUGAAUUUUGGUAAUGUAAAUGUCUCAGAAUACCAUAAUGUGGAAAAGCUGAUAUAUUACAUUGUCUGCCGGUUUCUUGUUGAACAGCAGCAAUUUUACU